UGCGUAGGCGGCCAAAUUAGUCAGGGGUGAAAGCUCGCAGCUCAACUGCGGAAUUGCCUUUGAUACUGUUUGGCUUGAAUCAGGGUGAGGUCAGCGGAAUGUGGCAUGUAGCGGUGAAAUGCAUAGAUAUGCCAUAGAACACCAAUUGCGAAGGCAGCUGACUAGACCUGCAUUGACGCUGAGGCACGAAAGCGUGGGGAGCGAACAGGAUUAGAUACCCUGGUAGUCC
rnacentral:rRNA from 1 species